rnacentral:tRNA from 1 species
GUUUAUAUAAUUUAUAUAGAAUAUUGUGUUGAAGAUACAAAAGAGAUAAUAGGUCUAUAAACA